rnacentral:rRNA from 1 species
CUAAGUGGCGGACGGGUGAGUAAUGUAUAGUUAAUCUGCCCUUUAGAGGGGGAUAACAGUUGGAAACGACUGCUAAUACCCCAUACUCCUUUUAUCUUAAUGAUAAUUGGGAAACGUUUUUUCGCUAAAGGAUGAGACUAUAUGGUAUCAGGUAGUUGGUAGGGUAAGAGCCUACCAAGCCAAUGACGCCUAGCUGGUCUGAGAGGAUGAUCAGCCACACUGGAACUGGGACACGGUCCAG